ACAAAUAUGAUGUUGGCUCUGUGCAGGA
rnacentral:piRNA from 1 species